CCUUCCGUAGGUGAACCUGCGGAAGGAUCAUUACCGAGUGAGGGCCCUUUGGGUCCAACCUCCCACCCGUGUUUAUUUACCUCGUUGCUUCGGCGGGCCCGCCUUAACUGGCCGCCGGGGGGCUCACGCCCCCGGGCCCGCGCCCGCCGAAGACACCCCCGAACUCUGCCUGAAGAUUGUCGUCUGAGUGAAAAUAUAAAUUAUUUAAAACUUUCAACAACGGAUCUCUUGGUUCCGGCAUCGAUGAAGAACGCAGCGAAAUGCGAUACGUAAUGUGAAUUGCAAAUUCAGUGAAUCAUCGAGUCUUUGAACGCACAUUGCGCCCCCUGGUAUUCCGGGGGGCAUGCCUGUCCGAGCGUCAUUGCUGCCCUCAAGCCCGGCUUGUGUGUUGGGCCCCGUCCUCCGAUUCCGGGGGACGGGCCCGAAAGGCAGCGGCGGCACCGCGUCCGGUCCUCGAGCGUAUGGGGCUUUGUCACCCGCUCUGUAGGCCCGGCCGGCGCUUGCCGAUCAACCCAAAUUUUUAUCCAGGUGACCUCGGAUCAGGUAG
rnacentral:rRNA from 1 species